CCACUUUAUAGAUUUUCCUCGAUUUCCGAUUCCUGAGCGUUUGGUUUACAACUUCUCAUUUCAUGGUGGUGUCAAAGCAAUAUGAACUCAGAAGUAACUGCACCUGAAUUUCGACUUUUCCUGGGCCAGUGCCUGGGUGCAAGCCUCUUGGAUUGGGGGGGCACCCACACACGCAGCAUGCAGUGUGGCUAAUCUGCAACAUCCCAGAGGGGCCGAGGGCAUCGGGCUCUGGAAAAAGUGAGCCAGGGGCACCCAGUCAGCCUGGACGUCACAUGCCAACCUCCGCCUUCCGACCCAGCCCUUUUUCCACUGGAAGGGACCUGAGCCUGGUGCAGACUGGCCUUGGACCCUGGGAGCUACGGGGCAGAGGGGAGCAAGCCCAAGGACCGGGUGGAAGAUGAGCAGGAGGAACCAGGAUAGAUGGUUACAGCUGGGUAGCAGGAAGGACUUACAGACGUGGGGGAUGCGCUGGCUCCAAGUGACCUGGAGGGAAAGGGCUGGGGCUGGAAGGGAGUCAUUGACGGUCUCCCAUAAUUACACAAGUGAACGGGACUUUUUAAAAAUAAAGUAGAGGACUUAAAAACCCAUCAGAGGGGCCUGGGAUUUAGCUCAGUGGCACUGUGCCUGGCUGGAAAGUGCAAGAUCCUGAGUUCCAUCCCUGUUACUGAAAAACAACAACAAACAAAACAAAACAAAAAAACCCCAUCACAGCUGGACAUAGUGGUGGGAGCACUCUGGGAGGCUGAGGCAGGAGGAUUGCAAGUUCAAGUCUAGCCUGGGCAACCUAGUGACUUAACUAGACUGUCUCAAAAUAAAAAAUAAAAAAGGGCUGAGGAUGUAGCUCAUUGCGAAGGCCCCAGCUUCAGUCCCCACUAUGGGGCAUAGAACCACC
rnacentral:lncRNA from 1 species